AUACGGAGGGUGCAAGCGUUAAUCGGAAUUACGGGGCGUAAAGCGCGCGUAGGCGGAUUGUUAAGUCUCAUGUGAAAGCCCUGGGCUCAACCUGGGAACCGCAUGGGAUACUGGCAAUCUAGAAUACAGUAGAGGGUAGUGGAAUUUCAGGUGUAGCGGUGAAAUGCGUAGAGAUCUGAAGGAACAUCAGUGGCGAAGGCGACUACCUGGACUGAUAUUGACGCUGAGGUGCGAAAGCGUGGGGAGCAAACGGGAUUAGAAACCCUAGUAGUCC
rnacentral:rRNA from 1 species